UGGUGGGGUGACUUGUCUGGCUAAUUCCGAUAACGAACGAGAUCCGAGCUGUUUAGUUGCCAUUAUUUCACAUUGUGAAUAAUGGUUCCUAAACGGACCAUCAGUGAAAACUGAAGGAAGUGACGGGCUAAAUCA
rnacentral:rRNA from 1 species